AGUGAACGCUGGCGGUAGGCCUAACACAUGCAAGUCGAACGGCAGCACAGGAGAGCUUGCUCUCUGGGUGGCGAGUGGCGGACGGGUGAGGAAUACAUCGGAAUCUACCUUUUCGGGGGGGAUAACGUAGGGAAACUUACGCUAAUACCGCAUACGACCUACGGGUGAAAGUGGGGGACCGCAAGGCCUCACGCGAUUAG
rnacentral:rRNA from 1 species